rnacentral:ribozyme from 14 species
ACACACACACACACACAAAUAAACGGACUACAACAUAAAAGAAAAGAGAAGAUAUAUCCGAUCGGUGCCUUUUUUUUCUCCUCUCUUCUUCUUCACGCUCUUGCAUGCCUCUCUUGUUUCUACCAU